GACGAACGCUGGCGGCGUGCUUAACACAUGCAAGUCGAACGGAAAGGCCCUGCUUUUGUGGGGUGCUCGAGGGGCGAACGGGUGCGUAACACGUGAGUAACCUGCCCUUGACUUUGGGAUAACUUCAGGAAACUGGGGCUACUACCGGAUCGGAGACCCUGCUGCAUGGUGGGGGUUGGAAAUUCUCGGCGGUCGUGGAUGGACUCGCGGCUUAUCAGCUAGUUGGUGGGGUAGUGGCUUACCCAGGAUUUGGAGGGUCGCCGGCCCGGGAGCGUGACCGGCCACCUUGGUCCUGCGGGACGGCCCAGACUCCUACGGGGGGCAGCAGGGGGGAAUAUUGCCCAAUGGGCGCAAGCCUGAUGCAGCGACGCCGCGUUCGGAAUGACGGCCUUCGGGUUGAGAACCGCUUUCGCCUGUGACGAAGCUUUAGUGACGGUAAUGGGUAAAGAAGCACCGGCUAACUACGUG
rnacentral:rRNA from 1 species